GACGAACGCUGGCGGCGUGCCUAACACAUGCAAGUCGAGCGGGGUUGCCUUUAGCACUGAGUAUUUUUAAUCAUAUGACGCAUGCGUCAUGCAGAAACUACCGAAGAAAAGAGAUGAAAGUUUCUGCAUCACGCGUUCCACAAGUGCCAACACGAAGUGGGGCGUGUGCAUCAUGAAAAUUCAGGCGAAAGAGAAUAUUCAGUGCUGAAGGUAACCUAGCGGCGAACGGGUGAGUAACGCGUGGGCAACCUGCCUCAUACAGGGGGAUAACACUGGGAAACUAGUGCUAAUACCGCAUAAGAUAUCUUGGCGCAUGCUGAGGUAUUGAAAGGAGGUAAUCCGGUAUGAGAUGGGCCCGCGUCCGAUUAGCUAGUUGGUAAGGUAACGGCUUACCAAGGCGACGAUCGGUAGCCGAACUGAGAGGUUGAUCGGCCACAUUGGGACUGAGACACGGCCCAGACUCCUACGGGAGCAGCAGU
rnacentral:rRNA from 1 species